rnacentral:rRNA from 1 species
UACGAAGGGUGCAAGCGUUACUCGGAAUUACUUGGCGUAAAGCGUGCGUAGGUGGUUCGUUAAGUCUGAUGUGAAAGCCCUGGGCUCAACCUGGGAAUGGCAUUGGAAACUGGCGACCUAGAGUGCGGUAGAGGGUAGUGGAAUUCCCGGUGUAGCAGUGAAAUGCGUAGAGAUCGGGAGGAACAUCUGUGGCGAAGGCGACUGCCUGGACCAGCACUGACACUGAGGCACGAAAGCGUGGGGAGCAAACAGG